GGGGCUGUAGCUCAACGGCAGAGCGCAGGUAGGCCGCCUGGUUGCUGGUUCGAAUCCAGCCAGCCCCA
rnacentral:tRNA from 1 species